AGCUUGAUGAUGAUUAUCUCUUGUGAUUGCUUGCCGAAAGCAAGGUGAUCAGUCAUUUCACCGACACUGAAAGCG
rnacentral:snoRNA from 1 species